AUUGAACGCUGGCGGCAGGCCUAACACAUGCAAGUCGAACGAGUGGCGGACGGGUGAGUAAUGUCUGGGAAACUGCCUGAUGGAGGGGGAUAACUACUGGAAACGGUCGCUAAUACCGCAUACCAUCGGAUGUGCACAGAUGGGAUUAGCUGGUAGGUGGGGUAACGGCUCACCAAGGCGACGAUCCCUAGCUGGUCUGAGAGGAUGACCAGCCACACUGGAACUGAGCCACGGUCCAGAUUCCAACGGGAGGCAGCAGUGGGGAAUAUUGCACAAUGGGCGCAAGCCUGAUGCAGCCAUGCCGCGUGUGUGAAGAAGGCCUUCGGGGUGUAAAGCACUUUCAGCGAGGAGGCGUUACUCGCAGAAGAAGCACCGGCUAACUCCGUGCCAGCCGCCGCGGUAAUAC
rnacentral:rRNA from 1 species